UACAGGGGGCGCGAGCGUUGCUCGGAAUCACUGGGCGUAAAGCGUACGCAGGCGGAUCGCUAAGUCCGUUGUGAAAUCCCGGGGCUCAACCCCGGAAAUGCGAUGGAGACUGCCGAUCUUGAGUACGGGAGAGGGGAGCGGAAUUCCUGGUGUAGCGGUGAAAUGCGCAGAUAUCAGGAGGAACACCGGUGGCGAAGGCGGGUCUCUGGGCCGAUACUGACGCUGAGGAGCGAAAGCGUGGGGAGCGAACAGG
rnacentral:rRNA from 1 species